rnacentral:rRNA from 1 species
AUGGAGAUCGAGUCCAACCCAAAGUAUUGCAGAAUUAUUAAAGAAUCAUCAUCUGAGGAGGACCGGCUGAGUGGCCUCCCUGACGACGUCCUCCACUCAAUCGUCGGCCGGGUCCCCCUCAAACAAGCCGUCCGCACCAGCGCCCUCUCCAUGAGCUGGGCGUGCCUCUGGCUCCACGCGCUCGCCGCCUCCGCCGUCCUCGACUUCACCGACUGCGACUUCGUCCACGGCCAGUCCCCGCGGCAGAUCGUGGCCACCGUGAACCGCUGCCUCGAGGUCCACGGCGUGGCACCCAUCGACGUGUUCCCCGUGGUUUUGUCCCCGUUCGACGCGUUUGGGCUGGACGUCGUCCGGUGGGCCGCGACCGCCUUGGGGAGAGGCGCCAGGGAGGUGGGGGUGGACCUGACGCAGCACGCCGACGGCCGCGGGGCUCUGGAGCUUCCCGGGGACAUCUUGCUAAAGCCGAGAGCUCCCUCGCAGUGCUCAGCCUCGGCCAGAGCAGCCUCCGUGACGUCCCGCACGGUGUGGCGGGGUUUGCCGGCCUGA